AUAAAGCAUUUUCGGUGAG
rnacentral:snoRNA from 1 species